UCAGGUAACAUCAAAUCGUACCCCAAACCGACACAGGUGGUCAGGUAGAGAAUACCAAGGCGCUUGAGAGAACUCGGGUGAAGGAACUAGGCAAAAUGGUGCCGUAACUUCGGGAGAAGGCACGCUGACACGUAGGUGAAGUGGUUUACCCAUGGAGCUGAAGUCAGUCGAAGAUACCAGCUGGCUGCAACUGUUUAUUAAAAACACAGCACUGUGCAAACACGAAAGUGGACGUAUACGGUGUGACGCCUGCCCGGUGCCGGAAGGUUAAUUGAUGGGGUCAGCGCAAGCGAAGCUCCUGAUCGAAGCCCCGGUAAACGGCGGCCGUAACUAUAACGGUCCUAAGGUAGCGAAAUUCCUUGUCGGGUAAGUUCCGACCUGCACGAAUGGCGUAAUGAUGGCCAGGCUGUCUCCACCCGGGACUCAGUGAAAUUGAACUCGCUGUGAAGAUGCAGUGUACCCGCGGCAAGACGGAAAGACCCCGUGAACCUUUACUAUAGCUUGACACUGAACACUGGUCCUUGAUGUGCAGGAUAGGUGGGAGGCUUUGAAGUGUGGACGCCAGUCUGCAUGGAGCCAUCCUUGAAAUACCACCCUUUAAUGGCUGGUGUUCUAACGUGGGCCCGUGAACCGGGUUGCGGACAGUGUCUGGUGGGUAGUUUGACUGGGGCGGUCUCCUCCUAAAGAGUAACGGAGGAGCACGAAGGUUGGCUAAUCCUGGUCGGACAUCAGGAGGUUAGUGCAAUGGCAUAAGCCAGCUUGACUGCGAGCGUGACGGCGCGAGCAGGUGCGAAAGCAGGUCAUAGUGAUCCGGUGGUUCUGAAUGGAAGGGCCAUCGCUCAACGGAUAAAAGGUACUCCGGGGAUAACAGGCUGAUACCGCCCAAGAGUUCAUAUCGACGGCGGUGUUUGGCACCUCGAUGUCGGCUCAUCACAUCCUGGGGCUGAAGUAGGUCCCAAGGGUAUGGCUGUUCGCCAUUUAAAGUGGUACGCGAGCUGGGUUUAGAACGUCGUGAGACAGUUCGGUCCCUAUCUGCCGUGGGCGCUGGAAGAUUGAGGGGGGCUGCUCCUAGUACGAGAGGACCGGAGUGGACGCAUCACUGGUGUUCGGGUUGUCAUGCCAAUGGCACUGCCCGGUAGCUACAUGCGGAAGAGAUAAGUGCUGAAAGCAUCUAAGCACGAAACUUGCCCCGAGAUGAAUCUUCCCUGAGCCUUUAAGGCUCCUGAAGGAACGUUGAAGACGACGACGUUGAUAGGCCGGGUGUGUAAGCGCAGCGAUGCGUUGAGCUAACCGGUACUAAUGAACCGUGAGGCUUAACCUU
rnacentral:rRNA from 1 species